rnacentral:tRNA from 1 species
GGAAGUUGUGGCUCAGUGGUAGAGCAUCUGCUUGGCAUGCAGAAAGUCCCAGGUUCAAUCCCCAGUGUCUCCA